rnacentral:rRNA from 1 species
GACGAACGCUGGCGGCGUGCCUAAUACAUGCAAGUAGAACGCUGAAGGAAGGAGCUUGCUCUUUCUGGAUGAGUUGCGAACGGGUGAGCAACGCGUAGGUAACCUGCCUGGUAGCGGGGGAUAACUAUUGGAAACGAUAGCUAAUACCGCAUAAAAUUGAUUAUUGCAUGAUAGUCAAUUAAAAGGUGCAACUGCACCACUACCAGAUGGACCUGCGUUGUAUUAGCUAGUUGGUGGGGUAACGGCUCACCAAGGCGACGAUACAUAGCCGACCUGAGAGGGUGAUCGGCCACACUGGGACUGAGACACGGCCCAGACUCCUACGGGAGGCAGCAGUAGGGAAUCUUCGGCAAUGGACGGAAGUCUGACCGAGCAACGCCGCGUGAGUGAAGAAGGUUUUCGGAUCGUAAAGCUCUGUUGUAAGAGAAGAACGAGUGUGAGAGUGGAAAGUUCACACUGUGACGGUAUCUUACCAGAAAGGGACGGCUAACUACGUG